rnacentral:rRNA from 2 species
UUACCUCAGUAACGGCGAGUGAAGCGGUAACAGCUCAAAUUUGAAAUCUGGCCUCACGGUCCGAGUUGUAAUUUGUAGAGGAUGCUUCGAGCAUGGUCUGGCCUAAGUUCCUUGGAACAGGACGUCAUAGAGGGUGAGAAUCCCGUAUGCGGUCAGGUGCCUACGCUCAUGUGAAGCUCCUUCGACGAGUCGAGUUGUUUGGGAAUGCAGCUCAAAAUGGGUGGUAAAUUUCAUCUAAAGCUAAAUAUUGGCCAGAGACCGAUAGCGCACAAGUAGAGUGAUCGAAAGAUGAAAAGCACUUUGGAAAGAGAGUUAAACAGUACGUGAAAUUGUUGAAAGGGAAGCGCUUGCAACCAGACUUGCGCGCGGCCGAUCAUCCGGUGUUCUCACCGGUGCACUCGGCCGUGCUCAGGCCAGCAUCGGUUUUGGCGGCUGGAUAAAGGCCCUAGGAAUGUAGCUCCUCUCGGGGAGUGUUAUAGCCUAGGGUGCAAUGCAGCCUGCUGGGACCGAGGACCGCGCUUCGGCUAGGAUGCUGGCGUAAUGGUUGUAAGCGGCCCGUCUUGAAACACGGACCAAGGAGUCUAACAUCUAUGCGAGUGUUUGGGUGUCAAACCCAUACGCGUAAUGAAAGUGAACGGAGGUGAGAACCCUUAAGGGUGCAUCAUCGACCGAUCCUGAUGUCUUCGGAAGGAUUUGAGUAAGAGCAUAGCUGUUGGGACCCGAAAGAUGGUGAACUAUGCCUGAAUAGGGUGAAGCCAGAGGAAACUCUGGUGGAGGCUCGCAGCGGUUCUGACGUGCAAAUCGAUCGUCAAAUUUGGGUAUAGGGGCGAAAGANUAAUCGAACCAUCUAGUAGCUGGAUCCUG